GCGGGCGUGGUGGAAUUGGAAUACACGCGGGCUUUAGGUGCCCGUGCGCGAAAGCGCUUGGGGGUUCGAGUCCCUCCGCCCGCA
rnacentral:tRNA from 1 species